UACGGGGGGGGCAAGCGGUUGUUCGGAAUUACUGGGCGUAAAGGGCUCGUAGGCGGCCAACUAAGUCAGACGUGAAAUCCCUCGGACUUAACCGGGGAACUGCGUCUGAUACUGGAUGGCUUGAGUUCGGGAGAGGGAUGGCGGAAUUCCAGGUGUAGCGGUGAAAUGCGUAGAUAUCUGGAGGAACACCGGUGGCGAAG
rnacentral:rRNA from 1 species